rnacentral:lncRNA from 1 species
CUCCAAAUUAAUUAAUUCGAAUUCAUAAUUUUCAAUAUCUCAAUCACAGUUUCAGCAAUCCUUUUUUUAAAUCCAAUACUAAAGAAAAACACAAAAGCAAAGAAAACAAAAGGGUAGCUCCAAGCUUUACCCUGGCUCACGACUAUCACAGUCUGGCCCCCAUUCCUUCUUCUUCAACCUCUUUAUCCUACCAAAAUAUGAAUCGUCAUUCAGGAGAUUCCACAGGUUGUGAAACUUUGGCUUCUUAACCGCAUAUGUUCUUAACUUCCUACUAUUAACAACUAAUCGAACUAACCAUUCAUCUAAAUCCCAACAUUACUACUAUUU